AACCUUUUGUUGUUCACAAGUGUGAUGAUUGGGGUUCAGCCACCGUGUGAAAUGUGCCUCCCUCAAACCUUGUCACAACAUAAUUGGCACCUUACCCAUCUGAUG